ACAAGAACGUGAAGGUACUUGCUAGGCACAUGAAUAAUAAUUUUGAUCUGCUGGAUAAGAAGGGACCUGUUAAAAACACACAGAUUCCUGUCCGUUGGAUAAAUAUCCAGACCCCUGGAUAUUCAUCCAACUGCGAGGAACCUGUAUGUUUUUUAACGGUCCCCAGCAUACAUAUAUUAGGACCUGGACCUGGACCCGGAUAAGAAAACAGGAUGAAGUAGAUUCAAUACAAAGAGGAUCAGAUUCAAACAUAAAAAUCAUUGCAAGAGCAGAUUCAAAGCAACAUUAGCAGGCCGAUCUUCUUCGAUUCGAAACGGAGGACGAAUGAGCCGUGUUGAUCACCACAUGACCCGUGCCGCGAGUCACAGCCUGGCGACGAAGUGCACAAUUGAGGUCCAGAUCAAACUUGCAGGUGGAGCAGUGAAAAUGGAAGGCACUUCCCUGGUCACCGCAAGCAUCACAAACGAACUCACCGAUUUCAUAGGGAGAUUGCGUAACCAGGGUCAGAUGGUGGGCCGGGUGAGAUGGAUGUUUGAUGGUUCUUGACAAGCUGUAGCAAGAUUGGUGAAGAUAGAAGCUGCAUUCUGAGUUGGUGCAGCUCACAACAUAGCCUGAAAUGUACUGCUCACAGCCUGAGCAAACUAUUUCAUCUCCUUCGUCUACUUCCGCGAGAUGCAGAACGUGGGGAUGGCUAAAAUGCUUCAUCUCUCCGAACCUUCUCUCCCUGUUAAGUGUUGUCUAUGAAGUUUGUUAGCUUUUUAUAAAAAAGGAAUAAGGGCAAGGCAAUUCGGAACUCGGGAGCCUUGUGUACUGAGCAAAUUGAUUAUUAUUGUUUCAGCAACUUGUUUGGUGCGACAGAUUUUGGUGCCACACGACUUAACUUCUAUCUUGGCUGGCUUUCCUAUAUUCACUCCCAAGCUUCUGCUCAUCAUUGCCAGACUUAUGAUCGCAACCAGCCAACCCCAUCUCCGUUGAUUUAUCUGUAGUUGAGUUCUUCGUCUUUCCUUUGUCUUUGUAAUAAAUAGCAUACAGUAUCAGCUGCGCUAUUCCUAGGAGGCCUCCAACGCCAUUUGGAAC